rnacentral:rRNA from 1 species
UAAGGAAUAUUGCGCAAUGGGCGACAGCCUGACGCAGCGACGCCGCGUGGGGGAUGAAGGUCUUCGGAUUGUAAACCCCUUUCGGCAGGGAAGAUGGAACGGGUAACCGUUCGGACGGUACCUGCAGAAGCAGCCACGGCUAACUUCGUGCCAGCAGCCGCGGUAAUACGAAGGGGGCAAGCGUUGUCCGGAUUCAUUGGGCGUAAAGAGCUCGUAGGCGGUUCGAUAAGUCGGGUGUGAAACCUCCAGGCUCAACCUGGAGACGCCACCCGAUACUGUCGUGACUAGAGUCCAGUAGGGGAGCGUGGAAUUCCUGGUGUAGCGGUGAAAUGCGCAGAUAUCAGGAGGAACACCAGCGGCGAAGGCGGCGCUCUGGGCUGGAACUGACGCUGAGGAGCGAAAGCGUGGGGAGCGAACAGGAUUAGAUACCCAAGUAGUCCCUGAGCGGGCUGGCAAGGCGCAU